UUGAGUGCAUUAGAAACUGAUGUCCUCUGCCCACAGAAAUGGUACCUCAGAAGACACAAUACAAGCUUUCACACAAGUCUGUCAGAAUAUUCACAGAUCUUUUCUGACUACCUUUUACAGCAAGGAAAUACAUCAGUCUCUAGGCUGACUCAAUCAAUAGUUCCA
rnacentral:sRNA from 12 species